AGCUUUUGUCUGUGAACCUGGAAUCUUCUAUAUGGGAAAUUGAAUUGGUACACAACGGCCUCCUGCUCCGAAAUGAAAAUCUCAUCACAAAUGCAGUAGCAGAAACACCUAGCAAUGUGGAUAUACUCACAUAAUUCAUUAAAUAACCUUGAAUACUGAUAUCUUCAAAUUAGUGGCCAGUGAAGUGGAUGUGUGACCACGUAUUGUCUCCUACUUGUUGCCCUCCUCAUCAAGCUAAUUUUUGUUUGGAACCAGUUGGCCGCUGAAGGGAGCACGUGUUUUACCUGUUUCCCUUGAGCUGAAACUUCAGUACAUGACAGAACUUGGCUGUGUGAUUUUUCUGGAAUUCACAGCCUCUAGAUUUGGGUAAGAUUGGAACAGGAAUGCAGAGGAAGGGGAUUAUCUUGAAGAGCAAGUCUUCAAGCAGUGCUCGGGGAGAAGGCAUUGAUUGUUGCUCUUUUGAGGUUUGGUCCUAAAUAUUGGAUGCUUUGAGCUAGCUGUUUCAAACCUCCCAUCCAAGCCAGAAAUGCAAGAAUUUCUGAGUUUUCUUCUGGGUUCAUCUUUUGU